GCCGGGUAUGGUGGCUCAUGCCUGUAAUCCAAGCACUUUGGGAGGCCGAGGUGGGUGGAUCACCUGAGGUCAGGAGUUCGAGACCAGCCUGACCAACAUGGAGAAACCCCAUCUCUA
ensembl:misc_RNA Metazoa_SRP Metazoan signal recognition particle RNA